rnacentral:rRNA from 1 species
AGAGUUUGAUCCUGGCUCAGGAUGAACGCUAGCUACAGGCUUAACACAUGCAAGUCGAGGGGCAUCAGUUUGGUUUGCUUGCAAACCAAAGCUGGCGACCGGCGCACGGGUGAGUAACACGUAUCCAACCUGCCUCAUACUCGGGGAUAGCCUUUCGAAAGAAAGAUUAAUAUCCGAUAGCAUAUAUUUCCCGCAUGGGUUUUAUAUUAAAGAAAUUCGGUAUGAGAUGGGGAUGCGUUCCAUUAGUUUGUUGGGGGGGUAACGGCCCACCAAGACUACGAUGGAUAGGGGUUCUGAGAGGAAGGUCCCCCACAUUGGAACUGAGACACGGUCCAAACUCCUACGGGAGGCAGCAGUGAGGAAUAUUGGUCAAUGGGCGGGAGCCUGAACCAGCCAAGUAGCGUGAAGGAUGACGGCCCUACGGGUUGUAAACUUCUUUUAUAAGGGAAUAAAGUUCGCCACGUGUGGUGUUUUGUAUGUACCUUAUGAAUAAGCAUCGGCUAAUUCCGUGCCAGCAGCCGCGGUAAUACGGAAGAUGCGAGCGUUAUCCGGAUUUAUUGGGUUUAAAGGGAGCGUAGGCGGGCUUUUAAGUCAGCGGUCAAAUGCCACGGCUCAACCGUGGCCAGCCGUUGAAACUGCAAGCCUUGAGUCUGCACAGGGCACAUGGAAUUCGUGGUGUAGCGGUGAAAUGCUUAGAUAUCACGAAGAACUCCGAUCGCGAAGGCAUUGUGCCGGGGCAGCACUGACGCUGAGGCUCGAAAGUGCGGGUAUCAAACAGGAUUAGAUACCCUGGUAGUCCGCACGGUAAACGAUGAAUGCUCGCUAUGGGCGAUACAAUGUCCGUGGCCAAGCGAAAGCGUUAAGCAUUCCACCUGGGGAGUACGCCGGCAACGGUGAAACUCAAAGGAAUUGACGGGGGC